rnacentral:rRNA from 1 species
CACGUAGGGCGCAAGCGUUGUCCGGAAUUAUUGGGCGUAAAGGGUGCGUAGGCGGCGCGGUAAGUCGGAUGUGAAAUCUCGGAGCUUAACUCCGAAACUGCAUUCGAUACUGCCGUGCUUGAGGACUGGAGAGGAGACUGGAAUUUACGGUGUAGCGGUGAAAUGCGUAGAUAUCGUAAGGAAGACCAGUGGCGAAGGCGGGUCUCUGGACAGUUCCUGACGCUGAGGCACGAAGGCCAGGGGAGCAAACGGG